GGAGGGGUGGCAGAGCGGCCGAAUGCACCGGUCUUGAAAACCGGCCCCCCUCCG
rnacentral:tRNA from 1 species